GACGAGGUGGACAAACGUUAUUCGGAUUUACUGGGCUUAAAGCGUGCGUAGGCGGCUCAGAAAGUUGGGUGUGAAAGCCCUCGGCUCAACCGAGGAAUUGCGCUCAAAACUACUGAGCUUGAGGGAGGUAGGGGAGAGCGGAACUGAUGGUGGAGCGGUGAAAUGCGUUGAUAUCAUCAGGAACACCGGUGGCGAAGGCGGCUCUCUGGAUCUCUUCUGACGCUGAGGCACGAAAGCUAGGGGAGCAAACGGG
rnacentral:rRNA from 1 species